CCUACGGGAGGCAGCAGUGGGGAAUAUUGCACAAUGGGCGAAAGCCUGAUGCAGCGACGCCGCGUGAGGGAUGACGGCCUUCGGGUUGUAAACCUCUUUCAGCAGGGAAGAAGCGAAAGUGACGGUACCUGCAGAAGAAGCGCCGGCUAACUACGUGCCAGCAGCCGCGGUAAUACGUAGGGCGCAAGCGUUGUCCGGAAUUAUUGGGCGUAAAGAGCUCGUAGGCGGCUUGUUGCGUCGGUUGUGAAAGCCCGGGGCUUAACCCCGGGUCUGCAGUCGAUACGGGCAGGCUAGAGUGUGGUAGGGGAGAUCGGAAUUCCUGGUGUAGCGGUGAAAUGCGCAGAUAUCAGGAGGAGCACCGGUGGCGAAGGCGGAUCUCUGGGCCAUUACUGACGCUGAGGAGCGAAAGCGUGGGGAGCGAACAGGAUUAGAUACCCUGGUAGUCCACGCCGUAAACGUUGGGAACUAGGUGUUGGCGACAUUCCACGUCGUCGGUGCCGCAGCUAACGCAUUAAGUUCCCCGCCUGGGGAGUACGGCCGCAAGGCUAAAACUUAAAGGAAUUGACGG
rnacentral:rRNA from 1 species